CGAAGCGGAUCUUCGGAAGUUUUCGGAUGGAAGAGGAUUUGACUUAGCGGCGGACGGGUGAGUAACGCGUGGGUAACCUGCCUUACACUGGGGGAUAACAGUUAGAAAUGACUGCUAAUACCGCAUAAGCGCACAGGGCCGCAUGGUCCGGUGUGAAAAACUCCGGUGGUGUAAGAUGGACCCGCGUCUGAUUAGGUAGUUGGUGGGGUAACGGCCCACCAAGCCGACGAUCAGUAGCCGACCUGAGAGGGUGACCGGCCACAUUGGGACUGAGACACGGCCCAAACUCC
rnacentral:rRNA from 1 species